AACGAACGCUGGCGGCAUGCCUAACACAUGCAAGUCGAACGAGACCUUCGGGUCUAGUGGCGCACGGGUGCGUAACGCGUGGGAACCUGCCCUUAGGUUCGGAAUAACUCCCCGAAAGGGGUGCUAAUACCGGAUAAUGUAUUCGGACAAAAGAUUUAUCGCCUUUGGAUGGGCCCGCGUUGGAUUAGCUAGUUGGUAGUGUAAAAGCCUACCAAGGCGACGAUCCAUAGCUGGUCUGAUAGGAUGAUCAGCCACGCUGGGACUGAGACACGGCCCAGACUCCUACGGGAGGGAGCAGUGGGGAAUAUUGGACGAUGGGCGAAAGCCUGAUCCAGCAAUGCCGCGUGAGUGAUGAAGGCCUUAGGGUUGUAAAGCUCUUUUACCCGGGAUGAUAAUGACAGUACCGGGAGAAUAAGCACCGGCUAACUCCGUG
rnacentral:rRNA from 1 species